GUGCCAGCCGCCGCGGUAAUACCGGCAGCCCGAGUGAUGGCCGAUCUUAUUGGGCCUAAAGCGUCCGUAGCUGGCUGCGCAAGUCCGUCGGGAAAUCCACUCGCCCAACGAGUGGGCGUCCGGCGGAAACUGUGUGGCUUGGAACCGGAAGGCUCAGAGGGUACGUCCGGGGUAGGAGUGAAAUCCUGUAAUCCCGCUCGGACCGCCGAUGGGGAAACCACCUCAGGAGAACGGAUCCAACAGUGAGGGACGAAAGCCAGGGUCUCGAACCGGAUUAGAAACCCGGGUAGUCC
rnacentral:rRNA from 1 species